GUAAGUCGUUGGGAGUGUGAGGUGCAUGUAUAAUCCAGUUUAUCCUUGAUUUGGUGAACUCUUUUCUUUGCUAUUUUGGGUUGUUUGUGCUGUUUUGUGGUGAUUGUUGCAGGGUGUCUCAUCAAAUACGUGAGGUGUAGCGCAUUGUCCAAAGAGAUUUUGUCGUAGAGGGAAUCAAUUUUUGCCAUGGGCUGCUUUCGCAUGUUAAUGGAAGCCAAUAACAUUCACUGCAAGAAGAAGAUAUCCGUUUCAGAGAUUGUUGUAUAUUUCUCUGUUUUCUGAUGAUGGCGCUAUAACGCACUCUGCUGCCAUAGCAUCAAUCCGCCCCUGAAAUUUUAGAGUUAAAGAGUCACUACAUCGCAAUUUCUUUGGUGCUGCAAAAGGAAGUUGCUAUGGGAAGUAUGUAUAUUUUGUUCUUUUCACACAUACAUUAGCCACUAUUUGGAGAGCACUAGAAGUUCAUGCUACACCAAGGAUUAUAAUUCAUGCUCUAGUUCGUGCUAUCAAAGCAAUGUCAGGUGAAUGCUGUGGAGUUUUCAUGUUAGAUUUUAAUCAUUCAAUUGUGACUGCUUUGAUAACAUCUUUCUAGUUUUGUAACAAAUCAGAGGUCAAGUUUUUUCAGUUGAGGAAUUGAUGUAAAACACUCAGAAAACCCUUUUGAGGAGAGCUUGUAAGUAGAUUUGAGUUUCCUCAGAAUGGAGUUGAGCUUCUUGCCUUUUGUGCCCUAGAGAGAGUGAGGAGCCCGAGAUGGAUCAGCAGGCUGGGUGGAGUUAAGGAGUACCAGGCGAUUCCCGAUCUUGGCGGAAAUGUACAAUGAAGAAGAAGGUGAUGUUUUAUUUUUAUGGCCCGUUGUAAGUUAAAAGAAGGGUAUUCUUGUUUAUAAAUCAUAUCAUUAUGUUAUAAUUGAAGAAUGUAAUACUCCAUUUCAUGAUUAUGU